rnacentral:rRNA from 1 species
UGCGCAAASGAAAACCUAAAUGAAUCGCUCGACCCCCUCUGCUGCCCCGUACGCGGUGUGCACAAAAGGCGGGUACGGUGCGUAUCUUGAAUGUCAAAACGACUCUCGGCAACGGAUAUSUCGGCUCUCGCAUCGAUGAAGAACGUAGCGAAAUGCGAUACUUGGUGUGAAUUGCAGAAUCCCGUGAACCAUCGAGUCUUUGAACGCAAGUUGCGCCCGAAGCUUCGGGCCGAGGGCACGCCUGCCUGGGCGUCACGC